rnacentral:rRNA from 1 species
CACGUAGGGGCCAAGCGUUGUCCGGAUUUAUUGGGCGUAAAGAGCGUGUAGGCGGCCAUAUAAGUCGGGGGUGAAAGCCUGUGGCUCAACCACAGAAUUGCCUUCGAUACUGUAUGGCUCGAGACCGGAAGAGGUAAGUGGAACUGCGAGUGUAGAGGUGAAAUUCGUAGAUAUUCGCAAGAACACCAGUGGCGAAGGCGGCUUACUGGUCCGGUUCUGACGCUGAGGCGCGAAAGCGUGGGGAGCAAACAGG